AAUUUUAAAUAAAAAUUAAAAAAACUGUGUGGAUUUCAGUGUGAGGAUUUGGCAUCAUGUGACCCGAUUUUAUUUAAGUCAUGUGACCUGCUCUUGUUUGAAUGGGAACAGUAACUGCUCUUGAUAAAAAAGAAACCUGCCUUGGAGAUGUUAGCUGCUCUGUUUAAAAUAACAAAAUUUCUAAAAAAAAAAAAAAAAAAACAACAAAAAACAACAAAAAAACGAAGAAAAAAACUGAUAUAUAAGUAACAGAACCCAAAAAGCAUAAAAAAAAGUUUUGUCAUAAAAGACUGUCCAUAAAGCUGCCACACUUAUGUUUGUGAAACUUUUUUUUUUUGAGAGGCGGGGGGGGGGGGGAAGGGAAGGGAAGGGAAGGGGAAGAUUACAUCACAAAGGAAGUCAAGCAACCAGCAAUCCAUCAAUCAAUCAAAUUAAGAAUUUGUUACACCAAUCAUAGAUGUAGUACUAUUGAGUGGUAUGAGUGUAAGUUAUGUGUGUGUGUGUUUGACUAGUUUAAGACUUAUCUAGAUCAAAAAUCUAUUGCCGACAUGUGCUGUACAAAAACCUGUACCACUUUGACAAGUAACAAUUUACUAUGAAUUAUGACCAGUAGUAAACAUUGUGAUUGAUAAAAUCAAUAAAAAAUAUACUCAACAAACAAGAAAAGACAUAAUUGUAAUCCAUACAUAUUUCAAAUGGAAACGAAACAUUUUCAU
rnacentral:lncRNA from 1 species